rnacentral:rRNA from 1 species
AUGUCUGGAAGCACGGGAGAACGCUCUUCUGCUUAUAUUAUUACCAGUAUUCGAUAUUGGGUUAUUCAUAGCAUUACUAUACCUUCCUUAUUCAUUGCGGGUUGGUUAUUCGUACCCCCGGAUCUACUAGUCAUCGCCUUUGAGCUGGGAAAAUCCUCGGCCAAACGAAUAUUUCACGGAAAGCCGACAAGGGAUUUUCUUAAUAACUGGGCGCUUUGA